UCCUCCGUGGCGCAAUUGGCUAGCGCGUCUGACUGUUAUAUCUGAGCUUCACAGCUCACGAUGGGCAUCAGGAGGUUGACAGUUCAAGCCUGUCCGGGGGAG